CUUAACUGAUUGGCUGAUUUACAGACGUUGGCGGCGUUAGCUAGCAAAUUAGCAAGACUGGCUUAGCUUAUGAAUAUUAAUCGCAUGAACGGAUAGUAUCGGUAUUUUAGUUGGAAACUUCACCGCGACUUGAUUAAAAGUCAAAAUUGCCUCACGAUAAUGAUAUCGAUGAAGGCUAAUAAUAAUUUAUGCUAUUAACCGUUGACGCUUUGCCUGGUAAAAGACAUAAAUGUUGCUUUUGUGUUUUAGCUGACUUGGUAGCGUUAGCCGCUGGCUAUAAAUAUUGCGGAAUAUUAAUAUUGAGUAGGUCUGGUACUUGAGUCUGCAAGAAGGUGUAGCAAGUAAAUUUCCACUUGAAAGGACCACAAGCCACCUGCAAGAGAUACAGAGCAUCAUCAGCCCUGACAGACUAUGACAUCCGUAAUGCAGCCACAUACCCAUCAAGAUCUUCAUGGGAAAAUAAGCUGUCACCCACUGACAUUAAGUCAGAACA